AAGUGGGGAUUGGGUAGGUAACUUAAGAAAAUUGGGGAAGCUCUGAGAACUGUAUUGUUUCUACUUAUACAUAAGGAGUCAUAAGGAUGGCAAUACAUUGAAAGCAUUUUUUGAAUAGUUGUGCAAAUAUGUUAAAUGUUGAAUGGACAUUCAGCCACAUCACUCAUCUCAACACUAUAAACCACAGGUCUAAUUCAAGAAUGAAACUCUUAUUAGAACUGAUUAUUAUUGCCCUCUGCUAUAGUUUAAAUGUGUCCCUCCAAAAUUCAUGUGUUGGAAACUUAAUUGCUGUUGGAACAAUGUUAAGAGAUGGGGCCUUUAAGAGGUGAUUAGGCCAUGAGGGCUCUGCUCUCAUGAAGGGAUUAAUGCUAUUAUUGUGAGAGUAGGUUAGUUAUCUCAGGAGUGGGCUCCUGAUAAUAAGAUAAGUCCUGCUUCCAUUUUCUCUUUGUCUCACAUACAUACUCGCUUGCACUUCAUGUGAUGUCUUCCAUCAUGGGAUGACCCUUCCCAGAUGCAGGCAUCAUGCUCUUGGACUUUACAGCCCCCAAAACUGAAAGCCAAAUAAACUUUUGUUCUUUAUAAAUUACCCAGUAUUUUGUAUUAGCAGCAGAAAAUGGGCCAAGGCAGAAUACUGGUACCAAAAAGUGGGGCCAUUGUUAAAACAAAUAUCUGAAAAUAUGGAAGUGGCUUUGGAACUGGUUAAUGGGUAGAGGUUGGAAGAAUUUUAAGUAGGAGUCUGGAAGAAGCCUAGAUUGCCGUGAAUAGAAUGUUAAGGGUGAUUCUGGUGAGGGCUCAGAAGAAGAGGCCAUAGGGAAAUUCUGGAACUUUUUAGAGAUAACUUAAGUGGGCAUGAUCAGAAUGUUGAUAGAAAUGUGCACAGUAAAGCUAUUCUGAUGAGGUCUCAAGCAGAAACUGAGAGUAAAGGCCAUCCUUGCUAUAUAUUAGCAAAGACCCUUGCUGAAUUGCAUCAGUUUCCUAGGACUUUAUGGAAUGCAGAACUUCAGAGCGAUGAACAUUCAGGCUGCUUUGUGGCUGCUUUUAACUGCAUAUAGUAAGGUGCGAGAGGGAAGAAAUGAUUUAAAAAUGGAAUUUAUAAUUAAAUGGUAAGCGGAACAGAAAGACUUGGAAAAUUAGCAGCUUGACCAUGUAAAAAGUGAAAAGGUAUCUUUUAGGAAAGUAAACCAAGGAUGUGUGCUAAAGAGAUGAGUGUGGUUACAGGGGAGCCAAGUGCUAGUCAAGACAAUGGGAGAAAGGCCCUGAAGGCAUUUUAAGAUCUUUGAGGCUGUACCUCCCGUUGUAGUCUCAGAACACUAGGAGGGCAGAAUGGUUUGGGGGAAUCAGCCUGGGACACCCUCCACAUGCUCACUGCCCAUGGCCACCUUGGGAGUCUGCUCUCCACAUUCUAGUGUAGCUUCCCCAGCUGUGGCUCAAAUAGGCCCAGAUGUGGCUCAGGCUGCUACUCUAGAAGGCACAAGUAGUAAGCUUUGGUGUUGGCCAUGUGAUGUUAACUCUACAGGCUUGCAGACUACAAGAGUUAUGGGGGCAUGGCUACCUUCUCCUACUGUAAGAGUGUUGCAGAUAGCACAGGGGGCAAGCAGAAACCUGUCUUGAGGCAGAAGCACUACAGAGCACCCUCACUAGGGCAAUGGCUAGGGGAGUCAUGGGAAUGGGGCCACCCCCAAAAAACACAGAACUGUAGUGCAAGUAGUGUGCAACGUCAGCCUGUCAGAACUGUAGGCACAAGAUUCCAACCAGUGAGAGCUGUAUGGGCUAAGCCCAGCAAAGUUAUGGGGACAGGGCUGCCAGAGGUCUUGGGGGCCCAACUCCUGCCCCAGUGUAUCCAGGAAGUAGGACAUGGAGUCGAAGGAGAUUAUUCACCAGCUUUAAGACUUAAUGUUUUCGGCCGGGCGCGGUGGCUCACGCUUGUAAUCUCAGCACUUUGGGAGGCCAAGGCGGGCAGAUCGCGAGGUCAGGAGAUUGAGACCAUCCUGGCUAACACAGUGAAACCCCAUCUCUACU
rnacentral:lncRNA from 1 species